rnacentral:rRNA from 1 species
AUUGAACGCUGGCGGCAUGCCUUACACAUGCAAGUCGAACGGCAGCGGGGGAGAAGCUUGCUUUUCCUGCCGGCGAGUGGCGAACGGGUGAGUAAUACAUCGGAACGUGCCCUGUAGUGGGGGAUAACUAGUCGAAAGAUUAGCUAAUACCGCAUACGACCUGAGGGUGAUAGUGGGGGACCGCAAGGCCUCAUGCUAUAGGAGCGGCCGAUGUCUGAUUAGCUAGUUGGUGGGGUAAAGGCCUACCAAGGCGAAGAUCAGUAGCUGGUCUGAGAGGACGAUCAGCCACACUGGGACUGAGACACGGCCCAGACUCCUACGGGAGGCAGCAGUGGGGAAUUUUGGACAAUGGGCGAAAGCCUGAUCCAGCAAUGCCGCGUGUGUGAAGAAGGCCUUCGGGUUGUAAAGCACUUUUGUCCGGAAAGAAAUGGCUCUGGUUAAUACCUGGGGUCGAUGACGGUACCGGAAGAAUAAGGACCGGCUAACUACGUGCCAGCCGCCGCGGUAA